rnacentral:rRNA from 3 species
CGGAUCAGGUAGGGAUACCCGCUGAACUUAAGCAUAUCAAUAAGCGGAGG